rnacentral:rRNA from 1 species
AUGAACGCUGGCGGCGUGCCUAAUACAUGCCAGUCGAGCGAACGGACGAGAAGCUUGCUUCUCUGAUGUUAGCGGCGGACGGGUGAGUAACACGUGGAUAACCUACCUAUAAGACUGGGAUAACUUCGGGAAACCGGAGCUAAUACCGGAUAAUAUUUUGAACCGCAUGGUUCAAAAGUGAAAGACGGUCUUGCUGUCACUUAUAGAUGGAUCCGCGCUGCAUUAGCUAGUUGGUAAGGUAACGGCUUACCAAGGCAACGAUGCAUAGCCGACCUGAGAGGGUGAUCGGCCACACUGGAACUGAGACACGGUCCAGACUCCUACGGGAGGCAGCAGUAGGGAAUCUUCCGCAAUGGGCGAAAGCCUGACGGAGCAACGCCGCGUGAGUGAUAAAGGUCUUCGGAUCGUAAAACUCUGUUAUUAGGGAAGAACAUAUGUGUAAGUAACUGUGCACAUCUUGACGGUACCUAAUCAGAAAGCCACGGCUAACUACGUG